rnacentral:rRNA from 1 species
GACAGAGGGUGCAAACGUUGCUCGGAAUUACUGGGCGUAAAGCGCGUGUAGGCGGUCACGCAAGUCAGGUGUGAAAGCCCAGGGCUCAACCCUGGAAGUGCACAUGAUACUACGUGGCUGGAGUACUGAAGAGGAGAGCGGAAUUCCCGGUGUAGAGGUGAAAUUCGUAGAUAUUCGGAGGAACACCAGUGGCGAAGGCGGCUCACUGGUCCGGUACUGACGCUGAGGUGCGAAAGCGUGGGGAGCAAACAGG